rnacentral:lncRNA from 1 species
CGCGGAGAGAGGAGCGCAAAUCAUCAAUCGAAUCCGACAAGCUUUCCAGGGUGGCCAUAGGGCGAGGAGCACGAGCAGCUGGUGAGGAAGAAGACUCUCCGGGAUGCAGUCUGGGAGAGCGACGAGGCAGAGGAGGGGGACUGCGGGUACGCUCACGGAUAGGACGAUGGUCCCAUGGACGAGUAAGCCCAGCUCUAGUGGCCGCUUGACGACC